UACCGCUUGGUAAAAAUUCAUCGGUGCAGCAGAGGUUAGUAGAAUAUUAUUUUAUUCAAACAUCUUUGAGAUUAAGAAAGAA
rnacentral:sRNA from 12 species